rnacentral:rRNA from 1 species
UUAAGCGACUAAGCGUACACGGUGGAUGCCCUGGCAGUCAGAGGCGAUGAAGGACGUGCUAAUCUGCGAAAAGCGCCGGCGAGGUGAUAUGAACCUUUGACCCGGCGAUGUCCGAAUGGGGAAACCCAGUGCAAUUCGUUGCACUAUCGUUAACUGAAUACAUAGGUUAACGAGGCGAACCGGGGGAACUGAAACAUCUAAGUACCCCGAGGAAAAGAAAUCAACCGAGAUUCCCCCAGUAGCGGCGAGCGAACGGGGAGCAGCCCAGAGUCUGAAUCAGCUUGUGUGUUAGUGGAACGGUCUGGAAAGUCCGACGGUACAGGGUGAUAGUCCCGUACACCAAAAUGCACAGGUUGUGAACUCGAAGAGUAGGGCGGGACACGUGGUAUCCUGUCUGAAUAUGGGGGGACCAUCCUCCAAGGCUAAAUACUCCUGACUGACCGAUAGUGAACCAGUACCGUGAGGGAAAGGCGAAAAGAACCCCGGCGAGGGGAGUGAAAAAGAACCUGAAACCGUGUACGUACAAGCAGUGGGAGCACCUUCGGGUGUGACUGCGUACCUUUUGUAUAAUGGGUCAGCGACUUAUAUUCUGUAGCAAGGUUAACCGUAUAGGGGAGCCGAAGGGAAACCGAGUCUUAACUGGGCGUUAAGUUGCAGGGUAUAGACCCGAAACCCGGUGAUCUAGCCAUGGGCAGGUUGAAGGUUGGGUAACACUAACUGGAGGACCGAACCGACUAAUGUUGAAAAAUUAGCGGAUGACUUGUGGCUGGGGGUGAAAGGCCAAUCAAACCGGGAGAUAGCUGGUUCUCCCCGAAAGCUAUUUAGGUAGCGCCUCGUGAACUCAUCUUCGGGGGUAGAGCACUGUUUCGGCUAGGGGGCCAUCCCGGCUUACCAACCCGAUGCAAACUACGAAUACCGAAGAAUGUUAUCACGGGAGACACACGGCGGGUGCUAACGUCCGUCGUGAAGAGGGAAACAACCCAGACCGCCAGCUAAGGUCCCAAAGUCAUGGUUAAGUGGGAAACGAUGUGGGAAGGCACAGACAGCCAGGAUGUUGGCUUAGAAGCAGCCAUCAUUUAAAGAAAGCGUAAUAGCUCACUGGUCGAGUCGGCCUGCGCGGAAGAUGUAACGGGGCUAAACCAUGCACCGAAGCUGCGGCAGCGACGCUUAUGCGUUGUUGGGUAGGGGAGCGUUCUGUAAGCCUGCGAAGGUGGCCUGUGAGGGUUGCUGGAGGUAUCAGAAGUGCGAAUGCUGACAUAAGUAACGAUAAAGCGGGUGAAAAGCCCGCUCGCCGGAAGACCAAGGGUUCCUGUCCAACGUUAAUCGGGGCAGGGUGAGUCGACCCCUAAGGCGAGGCCGAAAGGCGUAGUCGAUGGGAAACAGGUUAAUAUUCCUGUACUUGGUGUUACUGCGAAGGGGGGACGGAGAAGGCUAUGUUAGCCGGGCGACGGUUGUCCCGGUUUAAGCAUGUAGGCGGAGGUUCCAGGUAAAUCCGGUACCUUUUAACGCUGAGGUGUGAUGACGAGGCACUACGGUGCUGAAGUAACAAAUGCCCUGCUUCCAGGAAAAGCCUCUAAGCAUCAGGUAACAUCAAAUCGUACCCCAAACCGACACAGGUGGUCAGGUAGAGAAUACCAAGGCGCUUGAGAGAACUCGGGUGAAGGAACUAGGCAAAAUGGUGCCGUAACUUCGGGAGAAGGCACGCUGAUAUGUAGGUGAAGCCCCUGCGGGUGGAGCUGAAAUCAGUCGAAGAUACCAGCUGGCUGCAACUGUUUAUUAAAAACACAGCACUGUGCAAACACGAAAGUGGACGUAUACGGUGUGACGCCUGCCCGGUGCCGGAAGGUUAAUUGAUGGGGUUAGCGGCAACGCGAAGCUCUUGAUCGAAGCCCCGGUAAACGGCGGCCGUAACUAUAACGGUCCUAAGGUAGCGAAAUUCCUUGUCGGGUAAGUUCCGACC